GACGAACGCUGGCGGCGUGCUUAACACAUGCAAGUCGAACGAUGAAGCCUAGCUUGCUAGGUGGAUUAGUGGCGAACGGGUGAGUAAUACGUGAGUAACCUACCUUUAACUCUGGGAUAAGCCUGGGAAACUGGGUCUAAUACCGGAUACGGCCAAUCUCCGCAUGGGGUGUUGGUGGAAAGCGUUAUGUAGUGGUUAUAGAUGGGCUCACGGCCUAUCAGCUUGUUGGUGAGGUAACGGCUCACCAAGGCGACGACGGGUAGCCGGCCUGAGAGGGUGACCGGCCACACUGGGACUGAGACACGGCCCAGACUCCUACGGGAGGCAGCAGUGGGGAAUAUUGCACAAUGGGCGCAAGCCUGAUGCAGCGACGCCGCGUGAGGGAUGACGGCCUUCGGGUUGUAAACCUCUGUUAGCAGGGAAGAAGAGAGAUUGACGGUACCUGCAGAGAAAGCGCCGGCUAACUACGUG
rnacentral:rRNA from 1 species